UACAGAGGGUGCAAGCGUUGUUCGGAAUUAUUGGGCGUAAAGGGCAGGUCGGUGGUUUUGUAAGUUUACUGUGAAAGCCCUCGGCUUAACUGAGGAAGUGCAGUAAAAACUACAAGGCUAGAGUACUGGAGAGGUGUGCAGAAUUCCGAGUGUAGCGGUGAAAUGCGUAGAUAUUCGGAGGAACACCAGAAGCGAAAGCGGCGCACUGGACAGGUACUGACACUUAACUGCGAAAGCGUGGGGAGCAAACAGG
rnacentral:rRNA from 1 species